rnacentral:rRNA from 1 species
GACGAACGCUGGCGGCGUGCUUAACACAUGCAAGUCGAACGGAAAGGCCCUGCUUGCCGGGUACUCGAGUGGCGAACGGGUGAGUAACACGUGGGUGAUCUGCCCUGCACUUCGGGAUAAGCUUGGGAAACUGGGUCUAAUACCGGAUAGGAACCAUCUUUAGUGUGGUGGUUGGAAAGUUUUUUCGGUGUAGGAUGAGCUCGCGGCCUAUCAGCUUGUUGGUGGGGUAAUGGCCUACCAAGGCGGCGACGGGUAGCCGGCCUGAGAGGGUGUACGGCCACAUUGGGACUGAGAUACGGCCCAGACUCCUACGGGAGGCAGCAGUGGGGAAUAUUGCACAAUGGGCGCAAGCCUGAUGCAGCGACGCCGCGUGGGGGAUGAAGGCCUUCGGGUUGUAAACUCCUGUCGCUAGGGACGAAGCUUUGUUGUGACGGUACCUAGAUAAGAAGCACCGGCUAACUACGUG